rnacentral:lncRNA from 1 species
UAUCCUCUUCUUGUUUUAAUCUGCAUCUGAAAAAAGAAAAAACACUGAGAUUAUAGAAAAAAUAAAUAAAAAGAGUAAUCAGGUAGAGAAGUGAUGAAUGAGGAGGUGGAGAUUGAGAUAAUGGUGUCGGAGGUGAUGGUGUGUGAUGGUGUUGGUUGUUGAGACAGUUUAGAUUCACGAAGACGGAUGGAGAGAUAGGGGAUACGAACAGUUAAGAGGAGAGAAAGGAAGAAAGAGAUAGAAGAAAAAAUGUGUUUUUUACUUUAGUGCAUUUUGGUCCGUUAGAUUCACUUUUAUCAAUGGAUGUGGUUAUAUAGAACAUGAUCCGAGCCCUUGGAUCUGAUAGGCUGCUUUUAUGUUGACCAAUCAGAUCUUAUGUAUUUGAUUUCCUAUUUUUUCCAUUGAUUUUCUAUUCUAAUUUGUUUUUAACAUAUAUAAUAUUUAUGAUAAACUUCAAAAGAGCAAUUGGU